ACAGAGCAUGCGCGAGGGGCUGGCCAGCUUGGUCUGUCCGUCCACUGAUUGGGCCGGCAAAGAAUCGCUCAGAGGCUUCCACCCGCUCCUGGGCUGGUAGACUCGGCCGGAAGCAUUGUUUUGGCGGGAGAACGCUGCCUUUCCCGCAGUCGCCGCAGAAAGGUUGAAAGAAAGAAAAAGAAAGAAAGAAGGACGAGGAAGAGACGGAAAAUUGAGUCUGAAAUUUUUCUUAAGGGGAUAAGGCCAUCCACCACCAUGGUGGCCAGGGAAGAAUUGUAAUUGAUGGGACCCGAGGCAGUCCACGUGGCCCCUGCAUGAGAAUCCCCAUUGCCUUGGAAGAGCCUUUGGUAACUCUUGACAUUGCAGGUAAGCAAACUACUUUUCUUUGGGAUAGGUGGCCACUUGCUCAAUCCUAAUCUCCUAUGGGGCAAUUAACAUCUGUCCCUAGUAGUUGUGGCCCUUCAAUGAGUUAGCCAGUUAGUUUUCUUUACUCCCAUUCUAAGCUGCCAUCAUCGUAAUAGUGAAAGGCCCUACACCACCAAAGAUCCUCCGAUUUGUAUAAAUAAAUGGUUCUCAGGGACUAAGCCUGCCUCUGUAAGCCUGUAGCAUGAGUGAGACCCCUAGCAUAUCCCCAUCUGAUGCAGGAGUACCAUCUUCCUA
rnacentral:lncRNA from 1 species